rnacentral:rRNA from 1 species
UACGUAGGGGGCAAGCGUUGUCCGGAUUUAUUGGGCGUAAAGAGCGUGUAGGCGGCCAGGUAGGUCCGUUGUGAAAACUCGAGGCUCAACCUCGAGACGUCGAUGGAAACCAUCUGGCUAGAGUCCGGAAGAGGAGAGUGGAAUUCCCGGUGUAGCAGUGAAAUGCGUAGAGAUCGGGAGGAACAUCAGUUGCGAAGGCGGCUCUCUGGACCAGCACUGACACUGAGGCACGAAAGCGUGGGGAGCAAACAGG